UCUCACACACAACACACACAGCACUCUCACACACAACACUCUCACACACAUACACAGCACUAUCACACAACACUCUCACACUCAGCACUCUCACACAUCACUCUCAAACACAUAACACUCAGCACUCACACACAUCAUACACAGCACCCUCACACUCAGCACUCACAACACUCUCACACACAUCAUACACAGCACCCUCACACAAAUCAAUCACAUACAGCACCCUCACACAGCACCCACACCUCAC